GUUCCGCAAUGGUGGCCAACCGUAAACAUUGUGGUGCUGUUCCUGAGUUUUACAGCCUACAAUGCGAUCCAGACACAAAUAAUCUGGCUGUUAGUAGCUACUUAUCUUUGUCGUAGUCACGGGUAACGGCGAUUACGUUUGAGAAGACAGAUGUUCUUAAUUAAGAGACAGACGUCAGCUGUUGUCUGGGAACAUCCGUGAUCACGCUACUGGUGGGACACAACUGUACUGGAUUUCAGCUGAAGGCUGCUGUUCUAUGCAAACUGUCAUGAGACAUUUUUAUUGUGAUAUACCCUUCACUGCUGUUAGCUUUUGUUUCAAUAAAUUGUUUGAGAUGAGGAAA